rnacentral:ncRNA from 1 species
CACUUAUCAAGAAAGGCAGAGGGAUAUGGCCCGAUGAAGCCUUGGCAACCACACGCUUGCGUGAAAGGUGCCAAUUCCAUCAUAUACAAUUGUAUAUGAGAGAUAAGUC